GCACAAGCGGAGGAGCAUGUGGUUAAUUCGAUGAUACGCGAGGAACUUACCUGGGCUCGAACGUAAGAUGACUGUAGGUGAAAGCUUACAUCUCUUCGGAGCAUUUUACGAGGUGCUGCAUGGUUGUCGUCAGCUCGUGCCGUGAGGUGUCGGGUUAAGUCCCAUAACGAGCGCAACCCCUACCUUUAGUCGCCAUCAGGUUAAGCUGGGGACUCUAAAGGAACUGCCUACGCAAGUAGUGAGGAAGCGGGGAUGACGUCAAAUCAGCACGGCCCUUACGUCCAGGGCUACACACGUGCUACAAUGGCCGAUACAGAGGGCAGCUACCUGGUGACAGGAUGCAAAUCUCCAAAGUCGGUCUCAGUUCGGAUCGGAGUCUGCAACCCGACUCCGUGAAGUUGGAUUCGCUAGUAAUCGCGCAUCAGCCAUGGCGCGGUGAAUACGUUCCCGGGCCUU
rnacentral:rRNA from 1 species